GUCUGCGGCCACAUCACCCUGGAGACACACCAGAUCUCAUCUGAUCUCUGAUGCUAAGCAGAACCGAGCCUGGUUAGCACUUGACCCAGAGAAAUGGAGACAGUCAAGGCAGGCAGGCU
rnacentral:rRNA from 1 species